AUACGGAGGGGGCUAGCGUUGUUCGGAUUUACUGGGCGUAAAGCGCGCGUAGGCGGUAUAUCAAGUUAGGCGUGAAAGCCCCGGGCUCAACCCGGGAACUGCGCUUAUUACUGAUAAACUAGAGUCCGGGAGAGGGUGGCGGAAUUCCCAGUGUAGAGGUGAAAUUCGUAGAUAUUGGGAAGAACACCAGUUGCGAAGGCGGCCACCUGGACCGGUACUGACGCUGAGGUGCGAAAGCGUGGGGAGCAAACAGGAUUAGAAACCCGAGUAGUCC
rnacentral:rRNA from 1 species